rnacentral:rRNA from 1 species
GUGCCAGCCGCCGCGGUAAUACCGGUAGCCCGAGUGAUGGCCGAUCUUAUUGGGCCUAAAGCGUCCGUAGCUGGCUGCGCAAGUCCGUCGGGAAAUCCACUCGCUCAACGAGUGGGCGUCCGACGGAAACUGCACAGCUUGGGACCGGAAGGCUCGAAGGGUACGUUCGGGGUAGGAGUGAAAUCCCAUAAUCCCGCACGGACCACCGAUGGCGAAAGCACUUCGAGAAAACGAAUCUAACAGUGGGGGACGAAGGCCGGGGUCUCCAACCGAAUUAGAAACCCUGUAGUCC